UUAAUAUCCAGUACUGCAUUAUUGUUGUUUUUCUAAGUGCUAGCAGCAAUGUGCUUACAACUGUUUCAUUAGUAUCUGUCACAUUUUGAGUACGGCUGGGUAUUUUGGGCCAUUCCACAUCUGUUCACAGGUUCCCUGGCGCUGUCUGGCUAAGGGUGUUGGCAUCUCCGGCCCCCUGUGGGUUGUGGUCCUAUCCGGGGGCAGCAACACUCACUGCACACGCUCUCCGUCCUGUGCUCCGAAGACGCACGGACGGAUGGGCGGGCAGUGCGUGUCGAUGUCACGCCUCCAUCACCUGACACGGAACUAGGUCUCCGUGCGGUGUAUUGGUAUACCAUCCACGAGGGGUUACAGGAGUCAAACGGCGCCGCAUCAUUGGGCGGUUACCCCGCACCAAUGCAGACGCCUCCCUUCUCCUCCCCCUCGUAUGCGUGUCUCUGGGCGGGUAACAUUGGGGGGGUGGUCCCUAUAAGAGGGUGUAACCUAUGGCAGGUACAGGCAUUUGGCUCUUCACAUGUCAUCACUCCAUGCAGCACACUCGGAACUCACAGCCAUCAUUCCUUACCGACCACAGUGCAUUCAAUACACCAUGCCUCAUGCCUGUGCCACCUGGGUGCGCUCCCCUGACGGGCCCUGCACCCCUCAUUCUCCAGCCCUAGUCCCCGGCAGUGACCACCCCAAUCCUGGGGUCCAUCCGGAGCUUCACUCUAGUGCCAGCGGCAAUCGGCAACCUGAUAACCAAUGUAAUGCAUGCCUGCUCCUGAUGAGCGACCAACAGUCGCGAAACGCGUAGAGCUCUAUACCUCAUGCAUUAAUGUAUUAUCACUGCAGUGUCAUGUGAUGUAAUUUCCAUUUUAAUAUGUGAUAUCUAUUUUAUGUCUCAAUAAUAUAGUACAGCUCGCUGUACUCAUUGCAUUUAUAUAUUUGGGUCACUGCCCACGUACCUUGUCCCCCAACUAAUCUGUGAAACAUAUAUGUUUAUCUAUUUCUUCAAUAGUGCAAUAUAGUCAUGGACGGUGCAUUAUGUGAAAGUAAUAAAAUAUUUA